CAAAGCCUCAAGAGUAUCCUUCCUAAAUAAACACCUUACUACAGGAUUCUGCUGGCUGGUACAGAACACAGCUCUCCCCUGUAUUUGAAACUAUGAUGUAUCACAGAGGUCAGCAAAGAACUGGUAGUUAUCGAGAGACAGAAGGUUGUGUCUCUACAAUAUCCUUGAAAUGCACAGGUCUGAUAUCAUUUUCCUCUCACCUGCACUGAUGAAAGUCAGACAUACCCUGAAACCCAGCAAAGUCAUCACUGUGAGUGAUGAAAACCAAACGACUUUAGAGUGUGGUCGAGAUGGUAAACAGUAAACUACUAAUAAAAAUGAAUGCACAAUCCAGGAAUGGCUGCAGCAGUUUGCUUUUGCCAGAGCCUACUGAGAAAGCACGACUAAAGCAUGAACUGGCAAUGAAUUUAGCAAUCUACAUGGAGCAGAAUCUGUGCCUGUGGAGUCCCUUUCCCACCUAUGUGAACAAUCACAGUAUGCGAUCCACGAGGAGAUUUUGAAUGCCAGCCCAUUUCUCUCUCUCUCUCAGUCUCUCUCCCCUGCCCCCUUUUCUCUCUUCCCCUGAAGGCAAAAGAUGUUCAGAACAACAACAGAAGGGAAAAGAGGUAUGAAAAGAUUAGGCUGAUCAAAGGAAUCUCAUGUCACACCAGAAGAUUGAUUUCUCCAUCUUCCCAGUUUGCCAUGCUCCGUCCAUCAGAGCUGCCCAUGUGGAUACUACAGUCUUAUGUGUAUUUGUGUGCAAAUGUGCAGAUGUCUGCCCACAGCAGUGGUGAGAAGUGUUGCUCUCUGACUUUGAUUUCUGCCAGCAACCAUUCCAUUAAAAGGUACCAAAUGGAUAUCAGACUGAAUAUUGUGCUAAGGAAAUUCAAAACUGCAUCUCCUGCCAGAUCAGGAAUGUAAAAGAAUCUGAAAUGAAUGAACAUGAAAUGCUUUUUUCCUCCGUGCUGACAAACAUGUCAAGUGCUGAAAUGAAAGAGCAGAUAUAUGGACAUUUUUUAAAAGCUUAUGCCAAAACCAUCACUAUUUCCCUGGUAUGAUCUAUUUCCAGGCCUCCUUUAGCAGAACACAAAUUUAAUUGGAAAUUAGAUUCCUGUCAUAACGGCCUCAGGUAGGUUUUAAAUGUUUUGUCUCUGACUUCUGGAUCAAUUUGAAUAUCUGAGAACAGCAGAAACGAUACAACAAAUCUAUGAAGCAUAACAGGGGGCUCAGUUAGCAUUGAAUUUUAUUUCAUAAUCAUAUCUGGAAUAGUUUGCAAAAGAGUGAAAAUGUGACCCCUGUCAUUUCAGUUAGUGAUGCACUGAAUACUUCAUCGUUCUAUCUAUUCUUAUUUAGUUUGAUAAAAGGGAGAUUUGAUAAGGGAAAAAGCUAAGAAUAAAAUGUUGAUUUCUCUCUGUGUAUAAAAACUUGGUACUGUUAUAUUAUCUGGGCGGAGAUCACUAGAAGGUGCUAGACAGAGAAGGAUAGUCCAUUUUAUGUGGGUCGGGGGAGUGGAAAGAGGAAAACCAUUUCCCCCAUUUUUGCUGGUUAUGUCUUCUCCCCCCUUCUCAUAUCAUAAACAAGGGUUAUUUCCACAACGGGGACUUGGGUGGGGGGGAAUAACAGGAAAACAGGGGGAAAUGGUUUUCCUCUUUCAACCCACCCUCUACUCGCAUAAAAUGGACUAUCCUUUUCUGUCUAGUGUCCCCUAGUGGCCUCUGUCCGGAUAAUGGAACAGUACCGAACUUUUUUUCUCCAAUGGACUACAUCCUUUCUGAUAUCUUGCACUUCAGUUUAAACCCAGGAACAUGUUGUAACUCAGCAAGUGGCAGAGGAUUUUUCUGAUGUUUCAGAGGAUGAGGGGUUUCAAAGUGAGGAGUGUGGGAGGGAUCAGAGAGAAUUGCAGGCAAUUGAGGCUGAUGUUUUGGAUUUCUGUGCUCGUUCCCAGGCAACACAAAGUGAAAGCUCCAAUUCCCUUGUGAAGCAGCCUUGGGCCAAUGGGGGAUUUUCCCGGGAAACUAGAUUAGGUCUGAUAAGGCAAGGAGUGAAAAAUAGAUAAAUGAGGUAUUCUCAGAGAAUCCAAAAAUCCAAACACCUUGAAGGUCAGGGGUGUUUGGCAUGAUCUCAUGGGCACCUGAAUGGGCUUAAAUUAGGUGGUUUGGGCUUUAAGUUUUCAGAGGAGACAACAUUGCUUAAAGGAUGGCUUUGCUGUCUCUGCUCUCAAGUUCAUGAUUCAAGUUUCCUGUUCUGGUUCAUGUUUUUGUUUCCAGGGUUUGCCCUGGAAAAAGUUCCUGUUUUCAGGUUUAUGGAUUCAUGUUUGAAGUACUGCUGUGGAUUUUGUUUCUGUUAACUUUAUGUACUUUGUCACUUUUGGAUUUUCUAUUCUGCUGGCCAUUAGAAAUGUCCCCUUUCUCCUUUUUACCUGGUUUCUUUAAUAAACAUUUUU